rnacentral:rRNA from 1 species
UACGUAGGGGGCGAGCGUUGUCCGGAUUUAUUGGGCGUAAAGAGCGUGUAGGCGGCUGGGUAGGUCCGUUGUGAAAACUCGAGGCUCAACCUCGAGACGCCGAUGGAAACCCUCCAGCUAGAGUCCGGAAGAGGAGAGUGGAAUUCCUGGUGUAGCGGUGAAAUGCGCAGAUAUCAGGAAGGACACCCGUGGCUAAGGCGGCUCUCUAGUACGGUACUGACGCUGAGACGCGAAAGCGUGGGGAGCGAACAGG